AACGAACGCUGGCGGCAUGCCUAACACAUGCAAGUCGAACGAGACCUUCGGGUCUAGUGGCGCACGGGUGCGUAACGCGUGGGAACCUGCCCUUAGGUUCGGAAUAACUCCCCGAAAGGGGUGCUAAUACCGGAUAAUGUCUUCGGACCAAAGAUUUAUCGCCUUUGGAUGGGCCCGCGUUGGAUUGGCUAGUUGGUAGGGUAAAAGCCUACCAAGGCGAAGAUCCAUAGCUGGUCUGAGAGGAUGAUCAGCCACACUGGGACUGAGAAACGGCCCAGACCCCAACUGCAGGGAGUGGGGGGAAGUGUGGAGUAAUGGACAGGGGCCAGACGCAGAGCCCACAAGUGCGGGAUGAGGGAUGAGGCGUUGAGAAUUUAAAUCCUUGUUGACGGGGAGAAAUAGAGGGGACCCGGAGAAAAAGCCCCGGGCAACUCCGUG
rnacentral:rRNA from 1 species